UCGGGAAUAUUGCGCAAUGGAGGAAACUCUGACGCAGUGACGCCGCGUGCAGGAAGAAGGUUUUCGGAUUGUAAACUGCUUUAGACAGGGAAGAAAAAGGACAGUACCUGUAGAAUAAGCUCCGGCUAACUACGUGCCAGCAGCCGCGGUAAUACGUAGGGAGCAAGCGUUAUCCGGAUUUAUUGGGUGUAAAGGGUGCGUAGACGGGAGAGCAAGUUAGUUGUGAAAUCCCUCGGCUUAACUGAGGAACUGCAACUAAAACUAUUCUUCUUGAGUGCUGGAGAGGAAAGUGGAAUUCCUAGUGUAGCGGUGAAAUGCGUAGAUAUUAGGAGGAACACCAGUGGCGAAGGCGACUUUCUGGACAGUAACUGACGUUGAGGCACGAAAGUGUGGGGAGCAAACA
rnacentral:rRNA from 1 species